rnacentral:rRNA from 1 species
UGCCAGCCGCCGCGGUAACACGGAGGGUGCAAGCGUUGUUCGGAAUUAUUGGGCGUAAAGCGCGUGUAGGCGGUUCGUUAAGUCUGAUGUGAAAGCCCGGGGCUCAACCCCGGAAGUGCAUUGGAAACUGGCGAACUUGAGUACGGGAGAGGAAAGUGGAAUUCCGAGUGUAGAGGUGAAAUUCGUAGAUAUUCGGAGGAACACCAGAGGCGAAGGCGAUGCACUGGACCGGUACUGACGCUGAGGUGCGAAAGCGUGGGGAGCAAACAGGAUUAGAUA